AUUGAACGCUGGCGGCAUGCCUUACACAUGCAAGUCGAACGGUAACAGGUCUUCGGAUGCUGACGAGUGGCGAACGGGUGAGUAAUACAUCGGAACGUGCCUAGUAGUGGGGGAUAACUACUCGAAAGAGUGGCUAAUACCGCAUGCGAUCUACGGAUGAAAGCAGGGGAGCGCAAGACCUUGUGCUACGAGAGCGGCCGAUGGAAGAUUAGGUAGUUGGUGGGAUAAAAGCUUACCAAGCCGACGAUCUGUAGCUGGUCUGAGAGGACGAUCAGCCACACUGGGACUGAGACACGGCCCAGACUCCUACGGGAGGCAGCAGUGGGGAAUUUUGGACAAUGGGCGAAAGCCUGAUCCAGCAAUGCCGCGUGCAGGAUGAAGGCCUUCGGGUUGUAAACUGCUUUUGUACGGAACGAAAAGCCCUGGGUUAAUACCCUGGGGUCAUGACGGUACCGUAAGAAUAAGCACCGGCUAACUACGUGCCAGCAGCCGCGGUAAUAC
rnacentral:rRNA from 1 species